AGCAGUCGCCGCGGUAACACGAAGGGUGCAAGCGUUAAUCGGAAUUACUGGGCGUAGCGUGCGUAGGCGGUGAGUUAAGUCUGCUGUGAAAUCCCCGGGCUCAACCUGGGAAUGGCAGUGGAUACUGGCUCGCUAGAGUGUGUCAGAGGAUGGUGGAAUUCCCGGUGUAGCGGUGAAAUGCGUAGAGAUCGGGAGGAACAUCAGUGGCGAAGGCGGCCAUCUGGGACAACACUGACGCUGAGGCACGAAAGCGUGGGGAGCAAACAGGAUUAGAUACCCCCGUAGUCCCUGUCUCUUAUACAC
rnacentral:rRNA from 1 species